ACAGCAUUAUGAGGAAUCAAAGCAACUAAUAAAUGGAAAAUGGAUUUUCUACGGAAAAUCAGCUUCUAACAUCAACCACAAUUUUAAAGUCGAAGAAAGAUAAGUUGAAAUAGAGACUUCGAUCUUUGGGAUUCAGUUUGGGACUACCAGAAUGCAUAUGAUUAUCCAAAUGUUAUAAUCCAGUUCUCAUUGAUGCAGACGUUGUGGCGGAGGCAGCGACCAACCAAGCGACCAGGCUGUUCCAGGCCAUCAGGAUACACGACGAAGGACUCUGCAAGUACAUCCAUCCCCCUCACAAGAAGCUUAAAGUCAAGAGUCGCACAUCAAGAGAUUCCCAAGAAGAGAGGAGCAAUUAUUUAAAGGAG